CUUUUAUAGACCAUUCAAAAAUUAAUAUGCAUUUUGCUGAUUAUUUAUUUUACUGAGAAUUUCACUUAAUGUAACUUAAUAUGUAAAAUACAAUAAGUGAUUUUUUUUAUUCUAUUGUUAAAAGUGAGGGUAGAAUCAUUGUUUCUUUUGAGGGGUUAUAGUGGCAGAUUGGUCUAGUUAUUCCAACAACUGUUUCAUUAGCCAAUGUCAAUUUAACACUGUAAUAGGUUGGGAGUUGUACAUGGGGCUUUUGCAAGUGGUGCGUUCACCUCCAACUUCCUACCAAAGCUUCUGUCUUCUGGACACUCCCCUUUCAUCCACCAAUAAACAUGACUGCCACAAGGAAGGGAACAGUGCUGGAAGUGGCCUUAGACACCAAUCAAUCAAUCUCCUUGGUUUUGUGAAAUCAUAAGAACAGAUUUUGCCAUGAUAUCAGUUUGUUUAUUAACAAUUGUAAUACAAAAUAAUAAAUAAUCAUAAUAUCCUUGAAAUAAAAGUACUUAAUACGGCACUGAAACAGAUUUUACUAAAAACAAAGUACUUAAUAUGGCACUGAAACAGAUUUUACUAGAAACAAAGUACUUAAUAUGGCACGAAAUAGAUUUGAACAGAAGCAUAGAGUACCGGUACUAACUAUGGCACCAGAUAGAUUUUACUAGUAACAAGUACAGUAGACUCCGGCAAAAUGGAUACCCAAAAUGUCAGCUAAAAAUAUCCGAUUAUCUGAUAUAUUCAAUUAGACAAUGAAUGUAUAUGUACUUAAAAUGACAUCAUAUAGAUUUGAAUAGCACAUUAAGUACUUAAGGUGGUACCAAACACCUUGACUAAAAUUAAUUUGGCUCGUUUAAUUUUUAUAAAAUUUUGACCCUUUGACAAAAAUAUAAUAUUUUCAAACAACUUGAACCACACACUUUUUUGAAGAAAUUCAUUGGAUAUGCUUAAUAUUAACUUAACACUAUAACUUGAUUAAAAACAUUUAGCUGAUUUCCAGAGUUAUCUCCCUGUAGUGUUAGGUGCCACCUAUACAUAUGAAACCAAAUAGUAUGAAAUAGUUCAUUCAUCAUAACAACAUAAUGUAAAAAGAUUUGUUUAAUUGAUGCAUGAGCUCUGUAUCUGUCAAAAAAACUUAUUGAAAUUUGCAUGUUUUUAUUGUAUUUAGCUGAAAAUCAAUCUGUAUGCAAAAUUAUAUCAUCAUAAAAAGAAAUCUGAGAUGUAAAUUUGUGAACAAAUAUAUCUUUUUUCCUUUGUUUUAACACAAAGUAAUCAUAUUUUUUCAUCUAUUUCCUAUAUUUCCAUUAUUGUGUUAAAGCUUAUGAUACAUAUCGAUAAUGUGAUAAGCAAGGAUAAAAAAGGGGAAUAAUCCAUUACAAUAAAC
rnacentral:lncRNA from 1 species